rnacentral:rRNA from 1 species
UACGUAGGUGGCAAGCGUUAUCCGGAAUUAUUGGGCGUAAAGCGCGCGCAGGCGGUUUCUUAAGUCUGAUGUGAAAGCCCACGGCUCAACCGUGGAGGGUCAUUGGAAACUGGGGAACUUGAGUGCAGAAGAGAAAAGCGGAAUUCCACGUGUAGCGGUGAAAUGCGUAGAUAUCAGGAGGAACACCGGUGGUGUAGACGGCUUACUGGACCACGACUGACACUGAGGCACGAAAGCGUGGGUAGCAAACAGG